AACAAUUGACAUUGAUGAUGAUGGUCAUACAGGCAGUGAGGAAACUAGGACAGUCAAGAAAAGAUAUUGGACACAUGAAGAGGAAGUGAGGCUGGCUAGUGCUUGGUUGAAUUGUUCUAAUGAUCCGAUACAUGGCAAUGACAAGAAAGGAGAUACUUUUUGGAAAGAAAUUGCUGAAUACUUCAACAAGCAUGCUCCAGCAGAUCGUCAAAGGGAUGUUAAUCAACUAAAGAUUCAUUGGUCACGGUUGAAGACAUUGAUCAGCAAUUUUAAUGGGUGUUGGAGUGCCGUAUCAAAAAUGCAUACAAGUGGGUACUCCAAUGAUCAGCUAAUGGAUGAGGCUCAAAAGAUGUAUGCAAAUGCGAAUAACGGCAAGCCUUUCACGCUGGUUCAUUGGUGGAAAGCCCUCAGAAAUGAGCCUAAAUUUUGUGCACAUAUCUCACAAAUGGAUAAAGAAAAAGGUCAGAGCCGUACCAUUGACAUUAUUGAAGACAAAGAUCAGCAACCCCCACAACGACCUAUAGGAAGAGAUGCAGCCAAGGCUCAAAAGAAUGGCAAGCGCAAGGUAGAAGAGGUACUAGAUGGUAUUGUUCUUCUCGGGGAGAACAUAAACAAAAUUGUUGAAGUGCAACAAGAACGUAAACAAGAGCGUGAAAAAGUGGCUGCAGCUCAACUGGAAAUCUCAAGGAUACAACUCAAGGCUGCACAGGAGCAAAAGGAGGCCAAAUUGCUUGAAGUAUACAGCUCACUACUGCAGCAAGACACUAGUCAAUUGUCUGAGCAAGCAAGAA